rnacentral:rRNA from 1 species
UACGGAGGGUGCAAGCGUUAUCCGGAUUCACUGGGUUUAAAGGGUGCGUAGGUGGGUUGGUAAGUCAGUGGUGAAAUCUCCGAGCUUAACUUGGAAACUGCCAUUGAUACUAUCAGUCUUGAAUACCGUGGAGGUCAGCGGAAUAUGUCAUGUAGCGGUGAAAUGCUUAGAUAUGACAUAGAACACCGAUAGCGAAGGCAGCUUGCUACACAAUCAUUGACACUGAGGCACGAAAGCGUGGGGAUCAAACAGG